GCCUCGGAAGCUCCUGAAACUGCUGUUUUUUUCUUGCUCUGAUACUCCCAAAAGGAUUUCAGAGUUUUUCCUGUAGUAAGUGAGGGUGCAAAGCCUGCUGAAGGGCAGUAAGCAGCCAGGUUGUGGGAAUUAAAUGGCUCCAGCCCUGGGACAGAUUAACUGCACAAACAUUGGCUGAAUCUGCACAUAACUAGCAAUACUAAAUAAGUGGUCAACUGAUGAUGACUCUUCCAAGAUGUUCCAUGUCUUCUGUGGGAUUUGAAGAUUCUCAAUUUUGGCAUGAGAUCCUGAGAAUCAUUUGAUGUGCAAUGUAAAGCACCUCCAGACUCGCCACUGCCUCACCCAUCCCCACCAAGGCCUCAUCUCAGRUGUGUUUGGAAGCUGCCUCAAAAUGCAGAGACCUGCUUGCUCUUGGGCUGCCUUGCUAUCUGAACUGAUUUUCAGAAGAUAGCAGACCAAACCCAGGACCAAUUUUUGAAGUCUUUAUUCAACCUUUCUUGAUGGAGGCAGCUUUCUCACUGAUGUCUUCCAGACUCGCCUAUGCCAGCAGUGCACCAGCUCYUGAAGGUUGUGCUUUCCGAGAGCAACGGGUAAAGCACAACAAAACAAGGAGUAUGAGCUUGUAAUCUUCACGACGUGGACACAGAAGUGGGGACAUAAGAGAGAAACAGAACAAGGGGCUGUAACACCUGAAGGAUCUAUGGCUCUUAAAUCAAUCAUUGACCAAUGAUCGUUGAUCAAUCAUCA